GGACGAACGCUGGCGGCGUGCCUAAUACAUGCAAGGUCGAACGGUCUUUCUAUGGAAGCUUGCUUCCACUGAGAAGAUAGUGGCGAACGGGUGAGGUAACACGUGGGUAACCUGCCCGAUAAGAGGGGGAUAACAUCCGGAAACGGGUGCUAAUACCGCAUAGUUUUCUUGAUCGCAUGAUUGGGAAAGGAAAGACGGCCUUUGUGCUGUCGCUUAUGGAUGGACCCGCGGCGUAUUAGUUAGUUGGUGAGGUAACGGCUCACCAAGACGAUGAUACGUAGCCGACCUGAGAGGGUGAUCGGCCACAUUGGGACUGAGACACGGCCCAAACUCCUACGGGAGGCAGCAGUAGGGAAUCUUCCGCAAUGGACGAAAGUCUGACGGAGCAACGCCGCGUGAGUGAAAGAAGGUUUUCGGAUCGUAAAACUCUGUUGUCAGAGAAGAACAAGUUGGAGAGUAACUGCUCCAGCCUUGACGGUAUCUGACCAGAAAGCCACGGCUAACUACGUGCCAGCCGCCGC
rnacentral:rRNA from 1 species